rnacentral:tRNA from 1 species
GAUUUUUUAGUAUAGUAUGUAUUUUUGAUUGCAGAUCAAAGGGUUAUUAAAGUUUGA